AUUCACCGCCUGCGGAGGGAAAACUAUGGCAAGCUGCCUCCCUAUCUGGUUUGGGGGUUACCCCUGGUUCUGGUAUAGGUCACAUAAACGCACCUCUGCCUUCCUCGUUCUCUUAGAUCCAGGCAGAUGGCUAGGGCAGCUUGGAAGGGCCCUCGCACAAAUGUUCAUGCGUGUAACAGUAGAGACCUGGUUGGAAAGCUUAAAGGCCGCCAUCGCUAUAUGGGAGAUGGAUUGAAGAAAAGGAGUAUUGGCCCGACUCUGGAGCUUGAACAAUCGUGGCUAGAAGCUAGGUGUAGACAUAGAUCUUUUUUAAAAAGUGUAGACUUGCACACGUUGGCCAGCUUCCAUUUUGACUUGAAAUGUUUGUUUUGGGGCUUCUCGGAAGUAUGCAGAGGCACGAAGCGGGCAAGGCGAGUGCUGGCCCACAAUGGCACCCACCUGAGAGGAGCCAGAACUCAAGCUGAAAGCACACACAAUAUUAGAAGAAAUUCCGAUGAAAGAAGAAUGGCAGACAAAAAUAAUGGACUUUGCAGAACUGGACAAAACGACAGGAAGGAUUCGAAACCUGCGGGACCAGAGAUAUACAGAAGAUUGGAAGAAGUAUAUGAACGAUUUGAAAAGCAAUUGUAACCAACAAAUUGUGCUAGUAGGACUGCAAGAAGUUUUGUAAGGAGGAAUAUAGGAAGUGCUACAAAGUAGAUAAAGAACAGAGAUAUUGGUUAUGAGUUUUAAACGUAACAGGGAAAAUAAGAAAUGUAUGCUGAGAGAUUAGAUUGGAAAAUUUUCAGACAGGACUGAUGGAAGUCAAAAAAAUUGAAUAAGAUGUAAAAAUAUGUUUAAUUACUAGACUUCCGGGGUGGCGCCAUCGGUAAUGGCGGAUUCCCUCUGAUUCGGAGGGACUGGCUCUACGGAAAACGGGUCUGUUCCGCUACGGCGAAGCGGGGACCCUUUAAAAAAUCACAGGCGGAUGAAGCCUGUGACCAUGGGACUCGGCGGGCACCUUUCGCGCCCCCCCCAAUUCGUAAAGGAACCCAAUUACGAGCUCCGGAGCGAAGAGGGGCAAGUGGCGCGGUGCUGAGAGUCAACUGAUUCUUCCGUUGAGCGAAGCCGCACAGCCGUUGCCGGAGAGCGCUACCUUUUUCCUGGGACAAUUUGGCUACAAAAACAACUACCCGUGAGCAGAUUAAAUUUGGACAAUUGGACUUUAAACAACGACCUGUGAGUAGAACGGAAAAUUGGAUAAAGAAAUUCCUCUUAAUUUGGCACUGAAGCGGGAAGGUCUAAACAGGAAGUCAGCCUUCCGUUUCUUGUAGAUAGAUUAAAGCAAAGACAUGGCAAACUAGAGUUUAGAAAAUCAUUUGUAAAGGAUCAACUUUCAUCAUCUAAAAUUACUGAACCCCCUUCGGAAGCAGGAGAAGAGGGGGGAUUUUUUCCGGAUUGUUUAAACCUGCAGAAGAGAGUGUAAAGAAAAGUAAUUCUCCACCGUCUUGAACCUGGGAGCGGGGUGUCAGGACAGACGUUUUUGGGAAGUUCAUUGACUAUAGACAAACGUUUUUGACAGAUAGUUAAAAGAAGAGAAACAUAGAGAUUCCAUUGUUCUCUUUCGCAUUUUAAAGGAACAAAUAUUGACAAAAUAUAUGAAAAAGGAAACUUUGUUGUUAGAUCUGCUUUAAAAAAAAAAGAAAGAAAAGAGAUGGAUACAAAUAGAAGUUCUUCCCCUAGAGGGAGCUUGUGAAACUGUUAUUAAAUUUGAACUGGGGAGCUUUGCAGCUGCAAUAGAUUAAGAUCGUGGGAACAGACUUCUGACCUUGCAUAACAAUGUACUCAGAGGCUCUGGUGCGUGCUUUCUGCAAGACAAGUGCUUUAUUGGAACAGUUACAUGAGAAGACAGAUUUGAUGACUGUUGCGAUUAGAAAUUUUGGACAGGUAGUGGGUAUCUAUAUAGAACCCACCCAGGAAUCAACUCAGGAGUGUGCUCUGACAGAUCAGAUGAGGGAGGAGGUUGUUGCAGGACCUCGGGUGGCAGAGAUGGAGGGAGCUGUGGCCCAGCAGGAACAUGAGUUGUUGGAUCUGUCAAAUGAACUUGGAAAAAGCCAGAUUUGGAGAGACAGAGUUUUGUUUGGCUUGGAGAUGGGGGGCUGGAUAGACCCCCCCUAUGCAGGGAUGUUUUGACUUUUCAAGUCUGGCAAUGGGCCGUGAGGAGUUUGGGGUUGUGGGGGUCCUCAACUCUGGAGGGACCUUGAAACAUGCUUUUAAAUACCACAUGGAGUUCAGUGUGGACUAUGGAAAAGGGGCUGAUCUGUUGAGAAGGGACAAAAAUACUGUCAAGUUGGAGUUUCCACGAGUGAAAGGAGCAGGAGACAAAGUAAAGUACAGGUAUAAAUAUGAAGAAGAUCUGCGGAAGGGACAUGGAAGAGACUUAAGGGCCUCGGACAUAAGAUUACCAGGUUAAUGAACUAGAUGGAUGGGAUAAAAAGGACUGACAAAACCCGGGACCAGGAGGAAGAGACGUUGGAUGAAGAUUGGAAGAAAGUUUUAAAAAUUUUUAUUUAGGAUUGUUUUGUAAAAUUAAUGAGUAUUAGAAAAAUGUUGGAACGAAAUUAUUUGGCUUUAGCAGAAAUGUUAAAAAGAACUAUGUAAGAAUAUGCUAUGGUUAUGAGAAAUUGGUAUAAAUAAGAUUUAAGUUUUAAGUUUUAGGGGUUUUUUAUAGUAAGAUAAGGUUAAAAUAGAUUAAGGUAAUUUAAUGACAGAAUAUUAUGAAAAAUGGAAAGGAUUUGCUGUGAUAAUUAAUAACUAGAAUACAAAAAAAGGUGUGAGGAGGUCAAUGAAAUAAGGUAAUGACAGUUAAGGAUUUGGGAAUAUUGGAUCUGUUUUUAAAUUUUUGUGGUUUAUUUAUUUAUUUAUUUUUGAUUUUGAUGUGUUAUGUGUUAUGUUUUUGUUUUUUGAUUUUGAUUUUUAUCGAUUUGUAUUGUUUGAUUGCUGUUUGUUUUUCUCGUUUUUUCCUUCUUUUUCUCUUUGUUUUUCUGUAAUUUUAAAAUUCUUAAUAAAUAUCAUUUAGAGG